rnacentral:rRNA from 1 species
AGCUUGCUCCCUUAGGUCAGCGGCGGACGGGUGAGUAACACGUGGGUAACCUGCCUGUAAGACUGGGAUAACUCCGGGAAACCGGGGCUAAUACCGGAUGCUUGAUUGAACCGCAUGGUUCCAAUCAUAAAAGGUGGCUUUUAGCUACCACUUACAGAUGGACCCGCGGCGCAUUAGCUAGUUGGUGAGGUAACGGCUCACCAAGGCGACGAUGCGUAGCCGACCUGAGAGGGUGAUCGGCCACACUGGGACUGAGACACGGCCCAGACUCCUACGGGAGGCAGCAGUAGGGAAUCUUCCGCAAUGGACGAAAGUCUGACGGAGCAACGCCGCGUGAGUGAUGAAGGUUUUCGGAUCGUAAAACUCUGUUGUUAGGGAAGAACAAGUACCGUUCGAAUAGGGCGGCACCUUGACGGUACCUAACCAGAAAGCCACGGCUAACUACGUGCCAGCAGCCGCGGUAAUACGUAGGUGGCAAGCGUUGUCCGGAAUUAUUGGGCGUAAAGCGCGCGCAGGCGGUUUCUUAAGUCUGAUGUGAAAGCCCCCGGCUCAACCGGGGAGGGUCAUUGGAAACUGGGGAACUUGAGUGCAGAAGAGGAGAGUGGAAUUCCACGUGUAGCGGUGAAAUGCGUAGAGAUGUGGAGGAACACCAGUGGCGAAGGCGACUCUCUGGUCUGUAACUGACGC